rnacentral:rRNA from 1 species
UACGUAGGGUGCAAGCGUUGUCCGGAAUUAUUGGGCGUAAAGAGCUCGUAGGCGGUGUGUCACGUCGGCCGUGAAAACCUGCAGCUUAACUGUGGGCGUGCGGUCGAUACGGGCAUCACUGGAGUUCGGCAGGGGCUACUGGAAUUCUCGGUGUAGCGGUGAAAUGCGUAGAUAUCGAGAGGAAACACCUGCGGCGAAGGCGGGUAGCUGGGGCCGACACUGACGCUGAGGAGCGAAAAGCAUGGGGUAGCGAAACAGG